AAGAUUACACGGAGCUUGUGUUUGGUGAACAAAUAUAAACGUCAGUGAUCUUCAUAUAAAAACGAUAAGACAUAGUUAAGUAGAAGGAUAUGGGAGAUCGUGCAACAGCAACGAAUGAAACAAGCCAGUUGGAAAAACGAUAUUCAACGAUCCAAUUCAUGGCUUCAUCGAGCUUCAUCCUUUGUUGGUCAAAAUUAUCAACACACCACAAUUCCAGCGUUUGAAAGAUAUCAAGCAGUUGGGAAUCUGUGACUUCGUUUACCCUGGAGCAACUCACACUAGGUUUGAACAUUCUCUUGGAACCUCUUAUUUGUGUGGCAUAUUGAUUGAUAAACUACAAGAGCUUCAUCGUGGAGAGGUUGAGAUCACAGAUGAAGAAUGCAUUUGUAUCAAAAUAGCCGGACUUUGUCAUGAUCUUGGCCAUGGACCUUUCUCUCAUUUCUUUGAUGGUGUAUACAUCAAAAGGCUAAGACCUGAUUUGGAGUGGGAACAUGAGGAUGCGUCUUGCAAACUUUUUGAUUUCAUGCUCGAGAAAAACUCAGAACUUAGGCAGAGUUUUAAAGAUUUUCGACUUGGAGAGGAUGAGAAAAAAUUCAUCAAGGAACUUAUCAAAGGUAAAGACCCCAACAAAGAAGACGAAAGGUAGAAAGGAUAUGUCCAUUUACAGGUCAACCAAAAUGGUUUCUUUAUGAAAUCGUGUCAAACAAACGAAAUGGUAUCGACUGUGACAAGUUUGAUUAUUUUGCCCGUGACUGCGCUAAUGUUGGAGUGAAAUGUACUUUUGACCAUCGACGCUACUUUCAAAAUGUUCGCAUCAUGUCUAACCCUAAUAACCAACAACUUCAGAUCUGUGUACGCGACAAAGAGGUGUUUAACUUGUAUGAAUUAUUCCACACCCGUUGGUCCCUCCAUCACAGAGUUUACAAGCACAAAACUCAGGCACCAAUAGAAGACCUGCUAUAUAAGGCGUUCAAGAAAGUUGACAAAGUCAUGAAAAUUUCCGAAUCAGUGGAAAAAGCCAAGAAAAAGAAAAAAAAUAUGAAG